rnacentral:rRNA from 1 species
UACGUACCGUCCAGACGUUAUUCGGAAUUACUGGGCUUAAAGGGUAUGUAGGCGGCGCUGUUAGUCGGGUGUGAAAUCCCACGGCUCAACCGUGGAACUGCGCCCGAUACUGCAGUGCUUGAGGGAGACAGAGGUAAGCGGAACUGAUGGUGGAGCGGUGAAAUGCGUUGAUAUCAUCAGGAACACCGGUGGCGAAAGCGGCUUACUGGGUCUCUUCUGACGCUGAGAUACGAAAGCUAGGGGAGCGAAGGGG